rnacentral:rRNA from 1 species
UAGGUAGCAUAAUCACUAGUUUAUUAAUUAUAAACUCGAAUGAACGAUUUGACGAGAGAGAUUCUGUCUUUAGACAACCCUUGAACUUUAUCAGCAGGUAAAAAAGCCUUCAAGAUAUAAAAAGACGACAAGACCCUAGAACCUUCUAUACCUUAUUUUAAAACCUUAUACUACAUAAUUAAUCUUAUUUAGAUUGCUGGGGCGGCAUAAAUUAAUUCAAUUUAAUACUAAGACGUACUGAACGGCUCCUUCUACCCUUAAACGUAUUUAAUCAGGUACUCUAGGGAUAACAGCACAAUUUAACUUUAGAGCCCUUAUCGACAGAUAAUUUGUGACCUCGAUGUUGAAAUUGGAAUACCCUUAGCUAGGCAGCCCUAA